rnacentral:rRNA from 1 species
CCUACGGGAGGCUGCAGUGGGGAAUAUUGGACAAUGGGCGAAAGCCUGAUCCAGCCAUGCCGCGUGUGUGAAGAAGGCCUUCGGGUUGUAAAGCACUUUCAGUGGGGAAGAAAGCCUUGGGGCUAAUACCCUCGAGGAAGGACAUCACCCACAGAAGAAGCACCGGCUAACUCCGGGCCAGCAGCCGCGGUAAUACGGAGGGUGCGAGCGUUAAUCGGAAUUACUGGGCGUAAAGCGCGCGUAGGCGGUCUGAUAAGCCGGUUGUGAAAGCCCCGGGCUCAACCUGGGAACGGCAUCCGGAACUGUCAGGCUAGAGUGCAGGAGAGGAAGGUAGAAUUCCCGGUGUAGCGGUGAAAUGCGUAGAGAUCGGGAGGAAUACCAGUGGCGAAGGCGGCCUUCUGGACUGACACUGACGCUGAGGUGCGAAAGCGUGGGUAGCAAACAGGAUUAGAUACCCGGGUAGUC